rnacentral:rRNA from 1 species
CCUACGGGAGGCAGCAGUGAGGAAUAUUGGUCAAUGGACGAGAGUCUGAACCAGCCAAGUAGCGUGCAGGAUGACUGCCCUAUGGGUUGUAAACUUCUUUUAUAAAGGAAUAAAACGAGGCACGUGUGCCUGUUUGCAUGUACUUUAUGAAUAAGGAUCGGCUAACUCCGUGCCAGCAGCCGCGGUAAUACGGAGGAUCCGAGCGUUAUCCGGAUUUAUUGGGUUUAAAGGGAGCGUAGAUGGGUUGUUAAGUCAGUUGUGAAAGUUUGAGGCUCAACCGUAGAAUUGCAUUUGAUACUGGUAGUAUUGAGUAUAGUUGCGGUAGGCGGAAUUCGUGGUGUAGCGGUGAAAUGCUUAGAGAUCACGCAGAACACCGAUUGCGAAGGCAGCUUACUAAGCUACGACUGACGUUGAUGCUCGAAAGUGUGGGUAUCAAACAGGAUUAGAUACCCCGGUAGUC